rnacentral:rRNA from 1 species
UACAGAGGUCCCAAGCGUUGUUCGGAUUCACUGGGCGUAACGGGUGCGUAGGUGGCGAGGUAAGUCGGAUGUGAAAGCUCGGAGCUCAACUCCGAAAUGGCAUUGGAAACUACCUUGCUCGAGGGUUGGAGGGGGGACUGGAAUUCUCGGUGUAGCAGUGAAAUGCGUAGAUAUCGAGAGGAACACCAGUGGCGAAGGCGAGUCCCUGGACAACUCCUGACACUGAGGCACGAAAGCUAGGGGAGCAAACAGG